rnacentral:rRNA from 1 species
GAUGAACGCUGGCGGCGUGCCUAAUACAUGCAAGUCGAGCGAGCGGACGAGAAGCUUGCUUUUCUGAUGUUAGCGGCGGACGGGUGAGUAACACGUGGAUAACCUACCUAUAAGACUGGGAUAACUUCGGGAAACCGGAGCUAAUACCGGAUAAUAUUUUGAACCGCAUGGUUCAAAAGUGAAAGGCGGUCUUGCUGUCACUUAUAGAUGGAUCCGCGCUGCAUUAGCUAGUUGGUAAGGUAACGGCUUACCAAGGCAACGAUGCAUAGCCGACCUGAGAGGGUGAUCGGCCACACUGGAACUGAGACACGGUCCAGACUCCUACGGGAGGCAGCAGUAGGGAAUCUUCCGCAAUGGGCGAAAGCCUGACGGAGCAACGCCGCGUGAGUGAUGAAGGUCUUCGGAUCGUAAAACUCUGUUAUUAGGGAAGAACAUAUGUGUAAGUAACUGUGCACAUCUUGACGGUACCUAAUCAGAAAGCCACGGCUAACUACGUG